CUAUAGUUCACAUGGAAAUGGAGGCAGGAACUUGGGUGGGAUAUAAGAGAACAGCCUGCAUAUUUGCUGCUUCUUCUACUUGGCUCUCAUGGUGCGGAGGUUUCCAAGAAGAUGGAGCUAAGGCCAACAGCAUAUUUUUGCUUCUUUGGAUCAUCUUGUCUCCCUAACCCUGACUUGG
rnacentral:lncRNA from 1 species